UGGCGGCAAGGCAAGUUUGUGCUGCUGGUUUCUCCGAAUUUUAUAUUUUCGGUUUUUUUUAUUACCUUUUAUCUCUGUGGAUAGUUCUAGCGGGAUAUAAUGUAAUUGUUGUUUAAUUUAAGGUGCUGCUCUGGUUUUUACUAUUUUGUAUGAAGUUUGAACAAAAAACUGUCCUAAUUAAGAUGCAUCGUGGAUCCGAGUACAGGGUCUAUCAUGGGGGGCAUAUGAAAUCCUUGACUGAUCCAGGCUUGUUUAAUCGCAGUUUAUAUAUCUAUCUGAGUGCAGGGUCGUCAUAUGAAAUCCUUGACUGAUCCAGGCUUGUUUAAUCGCAGUUUAUAUAUCUAUCUGAGUGCAGGGUCGUCAUAUGAAAUCCUUGACUGAUUGAAGCUUGUUUCAUGAAACAGGUGGAUCUUGAGUCCUGUCUACGUGUCUUAUGGGAGGAUGUGAAAUCGGUGACUCUAAAUGCUUGUUUCAUGAGAAGCCGUCCGACUUACGAUACACUUUUCCUCGGCAACUUUGCAGUUCCUGCCUUCCUUGAGAAUCCCUGGAGGUUGAAGCAAGGAGAUGGAGUCCGUGACUUGUUGGCAAGUUGUCGUUUUUUUCAGGUUGAUACAUUUACAUGUUUUGCAUUUACAGUCAUGUUACGUGCCUGUGUUAACACAGUAAUGUGCAGUAGUUUAUUUCUAUGUACUGUGUUGUUGAAUUGUGAUCGCUAUUUAUCUGCUUGA